UACGGAGGGGGCCAGCGUUGUUCGGAAUUAUUGGGCGUAAAGGGCGCGUAGGCGGCUCAGCAAGUCGGGUGUGAAAUCCCUCGGCUUAACCGAGGAACUGCACCCGAUACUGCCGAGCUUGAGUCCGGGAGAGGAGAGUGGAAUUCCCAGUGUAGCGGUGAAAUGCGUAGAUAUUGGGAGGAACACCGGUGGCGAAGGCGGCUCUCUGGACCGGUACUGACGCUGAGGCGCGAAAGCCAGGGGAGCAAACAGG
rnacentral:rRNA from 1 species